rnacentral:rRNA from 1 species
CAGUAGCCGCGGUAAUACGUAGGGUGCGAGCGUUAAUCGGAAUUACUGGGCGUAAAGCGGGCGCAGACGGUUACUUAAGCAGGAUGUGAAAUCCCCGGGCUCAACCUGGGAACUGCGUUCUGAACUGGGUGACUAGAGUGUGUCAGAGGGAGGUAGAAUUCCACGUGUAGCAGUGAAAUGCGUAGAGAUGUGGAGGAAUACCGAUGGCGAAGGCAGCCUCCUGGGAUAACACUGACGUUCAUGCCCGAAAGCGUGGGUAGCAAACAGGAUUAGAUACCCCAGUAGUCCCUGUCUCUUAUAC